UGUAAAUUGACCAUAGGUGUGGCUGUGAGUGUGAAUGGUUGUCUGUCUCUAUGUGUUUGCCCGGUGACGGACUGGCGACCUGUCCAGGGAGUACCCGCCAGCCUACCCCCGCCUCCCGCCUGAAACCAGCCCCCCCACGACCCUACUACAGCCAGUCGGUCACUGUGUAAAUGCCUGGAGUUCUACAGAAGAUAAACUGAAACUUAAGAAUCGAUCUCAUCACACAAGUAUCGAUCAAUACCCAAUACCAACGUUAGUAUCGAUACUAUCGAUAUUUAAAUCGAUCCGCCAACCCCUACUGGAGACAACAGUCCAGAUAGCUGCGCGGGAACCAGCUGACAACAUUAACACAUACUAGCAACACACAGUAAAAUUAUCUUCUUCUACAUUGAAAAAAUGCUGUUAUGGCUAGCGAGCUAAUUGCGGUUAGCUUUUCACUUUAACACACGUUAAUGACGCAUUAUAAACACACAUACUUAAUGACAUUUGUAUAUCCGUCUAUAGCAUUAUUUAAUCCAGAAUAAACGACACGAACACAAACAACGUCGCCAAAACAAUAGAGUAAAUGUUUUCUUACCUGAUAUUUUUGCAGGAUAUAAAUUCACUUAACUUCUCUCAGGUGACCAAACAGAUUCCGUCUUUCCUAAUAUUACAGUUCUCCAUUAAAACCCUACAACUCAAAUCCGCUCAAAAUAAGAAUUUGUCAGAUAUAAAAUGAUCCAGGAAACAGAAGACUAGCAGCAGUGAGGAGUGAGACACCCAGCAGCAGCUCUCCCACUCAACACCUACUUUCUAAUCUGAUUCGUUAUGUGUUUAUGGUCUGAAUCUCUAGUUUGAAGUUUUCUUCAAUACAAUAUGAUGAUCAUUUUUUAAAUUAUGAUCCUAUUUAAAAGAAAAUAGACGUAAAGCAGAGUGGCUUUAGGGCGUGGCUACCGCGUCAUUGACACACAGAGGGACCUGCCUGUUAAUCCGGAUAUGACGUCAGAGCGAUGUGUCGGACAUUUGACUUAUUGUGUUUUCAGUUCAUCAAAGUUAGCUCCAACAUGUUGUUCACCGGUAAAUAUCUUGUUCGGUGUCUAGUUCUUCUAAAAAACAAUCAGAGGAGUCAGCGGUUCAAUUUUUUCCGGUUUCCUCACUGUGAAAACUGAGUGAUCUGUGCCAACAGAAGGAGGAGCUCAUGUACAGAGCAGCUCAUUAGUUUCCAGUGACUGAGGUCAGUGUCAGGAUGAGUCUCCACCACAUGAAUGAAACUGAAAGUCACGUCUUUUGUGCAGAUUGAAACAAGGAGUGAAGUUCAGGCACCAAGCAGCAGCAACAUUCAAUUCAAUUCAUUCUCCAGGAGUUUUCUAGUUGUUUAUUAUUCUCUGUCCUCAGUGUUCACAGAUUCAGUUUCUUGCCUUUUGCUUCAUUUCUACUGUUGUUGAUUAAUGACAGUAACAACAUGUGAAGAGCAGAAUGUGUUCAGCUCUAGCACAGUCACCACCUUCACAGGUGAAAGUAUCGACCAGUUUAACAUCAAACGGUGUUCAGUAGGAAACAGAUGGAACCGACCCACCAGAACUGCAACCUGCAGCAGAACCAGACUCUUCAUAGAUGUGAUGCUGUGACCUCAGAGACGGAUGUGUGACCUCACACACUCUUUAGUGUGAACUGAACACUGACAGUUCAGAUGGUGAAGCAGGUGUCAGUGUAGUACAGCUCAUGUUCAUUAGUUUUAUUCACAACUUCAUUGUUGUCAUUGAAAAGGUGUUUAAUAAAUAAACCUGUGAUUAAAUUGUA